GCCGGCUUAGCUCCAACGGAUUAGAGCAAGCGCCUUGUAAGCGAGAGGUUGCGGGUUCAAAUCCUCGCAGCCGGCA
rnacentral:tRNA from 1 species